rnacentral:tRNA from 1 species
GGAGAGAUGGCCGAGUGGCUGAAGGCGACGGUUUGCUAAACCGUUAUAGGGGGUCAAACCCCUAUCCGGGGUUCGAAUCCCCGUCUCUCCG